rnacentral:rRNA from 1 species
CAGUAGCCGCGGGAAUACGAAGGGGGCUAGCGUUGCUCGGAAUGACUGGGCGUAAAGGGCGCGUAGGCGGUUUUGACAGUCAGAUGUGAAAUUCCUGGGCUUAACCUGGGGGCUGCAUUUGAGACGUCAAGACUAGAGUGUGAGAGAGGGUUGUGGAAUUCCCAGUGUAGAGGUGAAGUUCGUAGAUAUUGGGAAGAGCACCGGUGGCGAAGGCGGCAACCUGGCUCAUUACUGACGCUGAGGCACGAAAGCGUGGGGAGCAAACAGGAUUAGAUACCCCUGUAGUCCCUGUCUCUUAUAU